UACGGAGGGUGCGAGCGUUGUCCGGAAUCACUGGGCGUAAAGGGCGCGUAGGCGGCCCGGCAAGUCAACGGUGAAAGCUUGGGGCUCAACCCCGAGUCGGCCGUCGAUACUUCCGGGCUGGAGCACUGUAGAGGCAGGUGGAAUUCCGGGUGUAGCGGUGGAAUGCGUAGAGAUCCGGAAGAACACCGACGGCGCAGGCAGCGUCCUGGCCGCUUGCUGACACUGAGGCACGAAAGCUGGGGGAGCAAACAGG
rnacentral:rRNA from 1 species